rnacentral:rRNA from 1 species
ACGGAAGGCAGCAGUGGGGAAUAUUGGGCAAUGGGGGAAACCCUGACCCAGCAACGCCGCGUGAAGGAAGAAGGCCCUCGGGUUGUAAACUUCUUUUACCAGGGACGAUAAUGACGGUACCUGGGGAAAAAGCAACGGCUAACUACGUGCCAGCAGCCGCGGUAAUACGUAGGUUGCAAGCGUUGUCCGGAUUUACUGGGUGUAAAGGGCGUGUAGGCGGAACUGCAAGUCAGAUGUGAAAUCCCGGGGCUCAACCCCGGAACUGCAUUUGAAACUGUAGUCCUUGAGUAUCGGAGAGGCAAGCGGAAUUCCUAGUGUAGCGGUGAAAUGCGUAGAUAUUAGGAGGAACACCAGUGGCGAAGGCGGCUUGCUGGACGACAACUGACGCUGAGGCGCGAAAGCGUGGGGAGCAAACAGGAUUAGAUACCCUGGUA